rnacentral:rRNA from 1 species
GACGAACGCUGGAGGCGUGCCUAAUACAUGCAAGUAGGACGCAGUUGCGAACGGGAGAGUAACGCGUAGGUAACUACCUAUUAGAGGGGGAUAACUAAUGGAAACGAUAGCUAAUACAGCAUACAAGUAGAUGGACCUGCGUUGUAUUAGCUAGUAGGUAGGGUAAUGGCCUACCUGGGCAACGAUACAUAGCCGACCUGAGAGGGUUAUCGGCCACACUGGGACUGAGACACGCCCCAGACUCCUACGGGAUGCAGCAGUAGGGAAUCUUCGGCAAUGGGGGGAUCCUUGACCGAGCAACGCCGCGUGAGUGAAGAAGGUUUACGGAUCGUAAAGCUCUGUUGUUAAGGAAGCGGUACUUACCCAGAAAGGGACGGCUAACUGCGUGCCAGCAGCCGCGGUAAUAC